AUUGAACGCUGGCGGCAUGCUUUACACAUGCAAGUCGAACGGCAGCGCGGGCUUCGGCCUGGCGGCGAGUGGCGAACGGGUGAGUAAUGCAUCGGAACGUGCCCAGUAGUGGGGGAUAGCCCGGCGAAAGCCGGAUUAAUACCGCAUACGACCUGAGGGUGAAAGCGGGGGACCGAAAGGCCUCGCGCUAUUGGAGCGGCCGAUGUCGGAUUAGCUAGUUGGUGGGGUAAAGGCUUACCAAGGCGACGAUCCGUAGCUGGUCUGAGAGGACGACCAGCCACACUGGGACUGAGACACGGCCCAGACUCCUACGGGAGGCAGCAGUGGGGAAUUGUGGACAAUGGGGGCAACCCUGAUCCAGCCAUGCCGCGUGCGGGAAGAAGGCCUUCGGGUUGUAAACCGCUUUUGUUCGGGAAGAAAUCCUCUGGGCUAAUACCCCGGGGGGAUGACGGUACCGGAAGAAUAAGCACCGGCUAACUAC
rnacentral:rRNA from 1 species